rnacentral:misc_RNA from 1 species
AUUUGUUAGGUAUGUAGAGGUGGUUUUUUUUAGAAGAAAAGGGGCAACUGAUUAUUCUAUAUCAAUCCCCCACCAAAAGUACUUAUAAUAUAUGACGAGGAAUUGUUACAAUAAGAAGACAAAAAAAUAUUUCUCAAAACCAAAAAACCACCUCUACAUACCUAACAAAUAGGGGGAGAGAAGGGAAAGAAGUUACAUUGAGCAUUGUUGCUUGAGCACGUUGGUUGGCUCUCUACAUUGAGAUUACAAAACACAGGAAUUCUCACCUUCACUAAGAAAGGAAGUGCUUUAUAUGUGGAUGGGGCUCCAUCAAUGACUAAGCAGGUUUGAGAGUUGCCUUCAUAUUGAAGGUUCUAUCUGGUGGCGCUCAAGGUUACGCAGUACAAUUCUUGCAAAAAUUUUGGCUUCAAGCGGUGCAGUUGCUGCAGCAGCUGCAGCACGAACGACUCGUGCAGCUCCAACAUUCUUCAUGAGACUUGCAUGGUGCAUAGCAUGCCGGCCACCAGGAAUCGUAAACUGGAGAAGAGCAAAUGCAGCACAAGCCUUGAGUAUAGAAGAGGGAUUUCGUAGCAUGGCAACAAAUCGUCCAAUUUCAGCUCCACUGCAUCUGAGUUGUCCUGCUUCCGGAAUACGAGCCCUCUCUGUUACUUGUGCC